UGAUGGCCUGAUAAUCAACUUGCCUUGAUAACACGAAGUGCAAGGAUAUUUAUUAUUCAAAAGAAUUUUGAAAUUCUUUAACGAAUGCCCAUAUGAGCUUUCUAUAAUCCAUCUCAUCAUAACCGAUCCUGGGUGUCCCAAUCGAUCAUGCCAAAGUACAAAGGUAUUGGAAUCAGUAACCCUUUGGUUUACUGUUGAAUGUGCCUCAAUUGCACUAANNNN
rnacentral:lncRNA from 1 species